rnacentral:rRNA from 1 species
CCUACGGGGGGCUGCAGUGAGGAAUAUUGGUCAAUGGACGAGAGUCUGAACCAGCCAAGUCGCGUGCAGGAUGACUGCCCUAUGGGUUGUAAACUUCUUUUAUACAGGAAUAAAACGAGGCACGUGUGCCUUUUUGCAUGUACUUUAUGAAUAAGGAUCGGCUAACUCCGUGCCAGCAGCCGCGGUAAUACGGAGGAUCCGAGCGUUAUCCGGAUUUAUUGGGGUUAAAGGGAGCGUAGAUGGGUUGUUAAGUCAGUUGUGAAAGUUUGCGGCUCAACCGGAAAAUUGCAAUUGAUACUGGCAGUCUUGAGUACAGUUGAGGUAGGCGGAAUGCGUGGUGUAGCGGUGAAAUGCUUAGAGAUCACGAAGAACCCCGAUUGCGAAGGCAGCUUACUAAACUGUGACUGACAUUGAUGCUCGAAAGUGUGGGGAUCAAACAGGAUUAGAUACCCCAGUAGUC